GCCGGCCUAGCUCAAUUGGUAGAGCAACUGACUUGUAAUCAGUAGGUUGGGGUUUCAAGCCCUCUGGCCGGCACCA
rnacentral:tRNA from 1 species